CUGCAAACUUUCGAGAAUGCAAGAAAUAGGUUAGUGGAAUCAGGCUUAUUGCACAGCUUGUCUAUUGAGGAUUAAAGAUACUCAGAAAUUAUUGACACAACUCUUGGAAGAACAGGAAGAUCUUAUCUGCCCAGAGUGUUAUUAUGUGUUCCUGAUUACCGCUAUGAAUAUGCAUAGAUCUGACAAUCAUUUAUUACGAAAGGUUAUAUAAGGAUGUCGAGUGCUUCAGAUGUUGAUGUUCAUCCAGCAUUGACUUGCUGCUUUAAGUUUUCAAACGAAAUUAACCUGAUGGGUUUAGGCUAACCCUCCGCAGAUAAGGCAACAAAUAUCUUUAACAUAUCCUUAGAAUCUAUUUGGUUGAAGAAAAACUAUUUCAUAAUGGGAACGAGUCUGCGUGUGCCUUAGACAAUGGAACAAAUGUACAAAAAUAGAACAAGAACUUGGCACAUUUGGUACGUAUCAAGAUUAAAAGAUAAAUGCAAGGAACGAGUAAAUAGUAAACUGACAGCAAUGGAAUUUAUUUAUUGAAUGUCAACUAAAGACAGUCGACAAAACAAA
rnacentral:sRNA from 1 species